UUGUCCCCAAGAGUUCCCUCGAACACUUCAUUAGGGAGGCCUUAUUACUAUUGUUUAUACAUAAUUAAAAGUUUAACAAUCUUCCAACUGAAGUGUUUGGGGGAACUCCUGGUGUCAU
rfam:Jatropha curcas cultivar GZQX0401 scaffold684_71, whole genome shotgun sequence.